rnacentral:rRNA from 1 species
CUACGGGUCGCAGCAGUGGGGAAUAUUGCACAAUGGAGGAAACUCUGAUGCAGCAACGCCGCGUGGAGGAUGACACUUUUCGGAGCGUAAACUCCUUUUAUAUAGGAAGAAGAUGACGGUACUAUAUGAAUAAGCGCCGGCUAACUCCGUGCCAGCAGACCGCGGUAAUACGGAGGGCGCAAGCGUUACUCGGAAUCACUGGGCGUAAAGAGCGUGUAGGCGGAUUAAAAAGUCAGAAGUGAAAUCCUAUAGCUUAACUAUAGAACUGCUUCUGAAACUCUUUAUCUAGAAUAUGGGAGAGGUAGAUGGAAUUUCUGGUGUAGGGGUAAAAUCCGUAGAGAUCAGAAGGAAUACCGAUUGCGAAGGCGAUCUACUAGAACAUUAUUGACGCUGAGACGCGAAAGCGUGGGGAGCAAACAGGAUUAGAUACCCGCGUAGUC